CAGCCGUAAACAAUGUGCGUUAGGUGUGUCGGUAACCACGCGUUACUGAUGCGCCGAAGAGAAAUCGUGAAACGCGCCGCCUGGGAAGUACGGUCGCAAGGCUGAAACUUAAAGGAAUUGGCGGGGGGAGCACCACAACGGGUGGAGCCUGCGGUUUAAUUGGACUCAACGCCGGGAAGCUCACCGGAUAAGACAGCUGAAUGAUUGCCGGGCUGAAGACUCUGCAUGACUAGCUGAGAGGUGGUGCAUGGCGUAGACGUCU
rnacentral:rRNA from 1 species